UACGUAGGGUGCGAGCGUUAAUCGGAAUUACUGGGCGUAAAGUGUGCGCAGGCGGCCGCGCAAGUCGAGUGUGAAAGCCCCGGGCUUAACUUGGGAAUUGCGCUCGAAACUACGUGGCUGGAGUGUGGCAGAGGAAGGUGGAAUUCCACGUGUAGCGGUGGAAUGCGUAGAGAUCCGGAAGAACACCGGUGGCGAAGGCGGCCUGCUGGGCAGUGGCUGACGCUGAGGCGCGACAGCGUGGGGAGCAAACAGG
rnacentral:rRNA from 1 species